AAAAGGAAGAAAAAAAGUAGUGAGGUUGGGGGAGAGAAAAAGAAAAAAGCAGAGAGAAGGAAAGUCAUAGAGCAACUAGCAGAGAGAAACACGUAGGGAGAGGGGAAAAGGCAAGGGAGGAGCAGAGAAAGAAAAUGAAGGGAAGAAGAGAAGAAUAAUUCGAAGCUAAGAAGAGACCAUGAGAAGCUACAAGCAUCGAGCAGUGGGUGAUCAUGUAAAACUAUGAGCACUCCAAACAAGAAGUUAAUGGUCUAUCCUCUCUCUACAAAAGUCCUCAUUGCUCUCAUCCUCACAAUGUCACCAACAGCUCCGGGCAAGACACAAAGUCAACAUCAAGCCCUCAUUCGCAGCCGCGACAUCACUCCAUGCUCACUUUUGUUUUCGAUGUCUAUAUGGCGGUGCGUCCUUCUUAUAGGCGGCGAAAAUAUAUUGUGAGCCUAGAGAAAGAGCAUAGAAUUUCACUUCUAACUUUUGAUGCCUAUAUGGCGGUACGUCCUGCGUAUAGGUGGCAAAAGUGAAGUGAGAUACCAACUUUUCUGACAACGGGAAGAAGCUGGUAAUGCGUAGAUGUCAACAAGACGGAGCUACAACAUUGACCCUCUACCAAGUUAAAGAAACACCUUUCAACAAAUGGCGGUGCCCUUCUGAUAAAGGAACGCUGCAUCAGGGUAUGUAAACCACACAAGCAAUGACAACAGUUAGAGGCAGCAAGCUUUGAAUUGUAGCUCUUGCGUCAUCGAUGUUCACGACAAUAAACUUUGGCGACAAAAUCAUCUCUUCUAUCAAUGAUUAUGAGGCUUGCAAAUGAAAAAAAAAACAACUUUUGCAUUAUCGUCUUGAAAAGAGGCAGACGAAGCUGCAUGCUACAUGGCUAUAUGGCUAUCUCUCUCUUAAUACCGAAGCUCCAUAGGCCAUAGCUCCACUUUUGCCACAUUGAAGGAGGUAUCGAUCAAUUGUUCUGCAAAUCACAGAGACAAAUAACAAAGUCAAUUUAUGAUUGUCGUUGAUGCUCAGUUCGCUGCAAAACAAGAUUGUAACAUGCAUGCACAAGCUUUUCUACUACCAGCUAAAUUAUGGGACACGGGUCCAUUUAUCCAAGAGACAAUUGAUGGAUUCCUAACCAAAGUGAUUAAAGAAUGGAAGAAGCAAAUUGAAGACCAAAGCCCACCGCUCACCGCUCCACCAAUAAAGAAUGAUGAAUUCUUUAGUGGAAACAUAUUGAAGAAGGGAGCAUGCAGAUUAGAGACAAACUCCACUACUUUCAAGUACGUCAAAAUGAGAAUUAUGAAUCCCAUAUGAAAUAUGCCACUUGAUAUCUACCGUGUUGGUCUUUGAGCAAGACAACAAGUCUAAGGCCAAAAGUACAUGCCAUGAAAGUUUGUUGGGCAAUUAACCCCAAAACGUGAACCAAUAAAUUAAUGGAUUAUUGAUCAAAUAAAUAUAUCCAUUAAUUUAA